UCCCUGGUGGCUCAGAGGUUAAAGCAUCUGCCUGCAAUGUGGGAGACCUGGGUUUGAUUCCUGGGUCGGGAA
rnacentral:tRNA from 1 species